UGGGCCAUCGCCAAGCGGUAAGGCACAAGACUUUGACUCUUGCAGACGCCGGUUCGAAUCCGGCUGGCCCAG
rnacentral:tRNA from 2 species